GUAAUUUUCUAUUACGUUAAAAUAUAGAUAAUUCAUAAUUUAUAACAUAUAAAAAGACGAACUUUAUUUAUAACAAUAGUUUUGACGUACAAUAAAGUCACGGCAGUGAUUUACAUAAAGUGGUUCAUCCUCGUCUGGAUGACCAAGUGUACGCAAUACCGAUGUAUUAUAAAAGUAUUGCCAUUGAUGUGUCAGAAUGCUGCAUAAUAAAGCUAUUUGUUAUUACUUCCUGUA